CAGCCGUAAACUAUGCGCGUUAGGUGUACUGGUGACCACGAGUCACCGGGGUGCCGAAGGGAAACCGUGAAACGUGCCGCCUGGGAAGUACGGUCGCAAGGCUGAAACUUAAAGGAAUUGGCGGGGGAGGCACCACAACGGGUGGAGCCUGCGGGUUUAAUUUGGACUCAACGCCGGAAAUACUCACCGGAUAGGACAGACAUAUGAUAGUCGGGCUGAAGACUCUACUUGAUGAUCUGAGAGGAGGUGCAUGGCGUCAGU
rnacentral:rRNA from 1 species